rnacentral:miRNA from 1 species
GUUAAAAAUUGGGCUCCCUGGGCCUCACCUCAGACCUACUGAAUGAGAAUCUUUGCAGGUGGAGUCCAGGAAUCUGCAUCUUAGCCCACUUCCC